rnacentral:snRNA from 2 species
AUUGUUUCUUGGCCUUUUGCCUAAGCUCAAGUGUAGUAUCUGUUCUUAUCAGUUUAAUUAUUAAUAAUUAAUUAAUUAAUUUUGAAGUGGGCUCUAUACCCAGU